GACGAACGCUGGCGGCGUGCUUAACACAUGCAAGUCGAACGGAAAGGCCCUGCUUUUGUGGGGUGCUCGAGUGGCGAACGGGUGAGUAACACGUGAGUAACCUGCCCUUGACUUUGGGAUAACUUCAGGAAACUGGGGCUAAUACCGGAUAGGAGCUCCUGCUGCAUGGUGGGGGUUGGAAAGUUUCGGCGGUUGGGGAUGGACUCGCGGCUUAUCAGCUUGUUGGUGGGGUAGUGGCUUACCAAGGCUUUGACGGGUAGCCGGCCUGAGCGGGUGACCGGCCACAUUGGGACUGAGAUACGGCACAGACUCCUACGGGAGGCAGCAGUGGGGAAUAUUGCACAAUGGGCGGAAGCCGGAUGCAGCAACGCCGCGUGCGGGAUGACGGCCUUCGGGUUGUAAACCGCUUUCGCCUGUGACGAAGCGUGAGUGACGGUAAUGGGUAAAGAAGCACCGGCUAACUACGUG
rnacentral:rRNA from 1 species